AUGACUCUGCCGCCGCCACCUCCAAAUUCUUUUUGCCGAUCACCUGCUAGCGCCACCACCAGCCAGCCCCACCGCAACCCCCAGCCUCCACGAUGGCUGCAGGCCUGUAGCAGGCCGCCAUGCUUGCGCCGAGCAGCCGCCGCCGCCGCCGAACUCCUGCAGUCAGAUCUGGGCCCAAGCCCACACGAGAGCAGCAGAUCCCUACACCACCAGCCACUGCCUCCUCUCCGAUGCAAGCCGGCACCACCGCCGGCACCCCGGAGAAGACACCUUGACGCCACAGAUGCUGCCGUGAACCCCGUCGCAUGGAUUACCACCGGUCGCCACAAGCUCCCCCAAGUCGCGAGCGCACCACUUGACUCUGGGAGAAACGGAUCCCAUAGCCGCCAGUGA
rnacentral:rRNA from 1 species